GACAGAGGGUGCAAACGUUGUUCGGAAUUACUGGGCGUAAAGCGCGUGUAGGCUGUCUCGAAAGUCGGAUGUGAAAGCCCUGGGCUCAACCUAGGAAGUGCAUUCGAAACUUCGAGACUUGAGUCCUGGAGAGGAUCGCGGAAUUCUCGGUGUAGAGGUGAAAUUCGUAGAUAUCGAGAGGAACACCGGUGGCGAAGGCGGCGACCUGGGUAGAUACUGACGCUGAGGCGCGAAAGCGUGGGGAGCAAACAGG
rnacentral:rRNA from 1 species